AUGCACCUGAUAUUGCGAAUGUUACGUGACAGAAGAGCAGCCGUUGUGAAUGACACUCUGCCCUUAAGAUUUACUGUGAGGAUGAAAACACUUUCCUGCGGGACUGCGAGGACGAUGGAGAAACCGCAGUGGGGGGCCGACUGCUCCAUCUUUUGCAGAUCCUGGAUGUGCGUAACGUGCUGGUGGUGGUCUCUCGAUGGUACGGCGGGAUCCCGCUGGGCCCCGACCGCUUCCAUCACAUCAACAGCUGCGGCAGAAACAUCCUCAUUCAGGAGGUUACACCGACACUUCAGAGGAAACAUCGGAAGCUGGAGGGAAGAACAAAAGACCUAA
ensembl:lncRNA